rnacentral:tRNA from 1 species
GCUGGGGUGGCAGAGCGGUUGAAUGCACCGGAUUUGUAAUCCGGCUGGGUAACCACACGCAGGUUCGAAUCCUGUCCCCAGCA